UCCCGCUCCGUGCGGGGCUCCGCGCUGCGCAGUGGCGGUGCCGCUGACGGGCGGCCGCGGCGCGGUGCCCUUAUUGGUUUGAAAUUCCAUUAAAUAUAUUGCAAGAGCGCCUAGGUUAAGCUUGAUUUAAAUUUGCAUACAUUUUCAUACAUUUAGCAGAAAUAAAAGAAGGCUUGCAGCUACCAGAAAGUCAUUAAGGCAUUAGUUUCCCCGAGAAGACAGAUCUGAAGAAAAUUCAAGAAAAUGGGAAAAUUGAUAGAAAGAAGGGAGAGAGGAGGGAGAGCCGCAGCAGCGCAGUGCCAUCGCAGAGCCGCAGCUGUGGCGGACGGACAGCUCGCAAAUGAACACUGUCCCAAUGUCAGAGCGGCCGCAGCCCCCACUGCCCCCGUUAGCACCGACCCCCCCGCGGCGGCGGGGCAGCGCCCGGAGCAGGGUAGGCAGGGACAAUGGGCGAGGCACGGGCAGAGAACCGCAAGGUGGAGCUGAAUACAAUGUCUGCAUUUGUGGCUAACUCCAAGCAAUACAUUAUGAAGAUGAUGUUAUUCAGACACACACCCAAACAAUUUGAUUCAGACAAAUUGGAUAUGAGACUUUGACCAGCAUGAGAAGAACAGUGUUUACGGUGAAAUGAUGGGGUCAACACUUCCUAGCAGCGUGGCCAACAGAUGUAGCGUGGAGAUGACAACUGUACAUUUUAGUGGUCUUUUGUUACCUCAGCACUGACUGAUGGCUGAGAGGCUGGAAGCCAGAAUGUCAAAGGCCAUCAGAUGUCCUGGCAGCCUCUAGAUCUCGUUUCUGUUAAGGGUUGAAAUGACAAAAAAAUGCCUUUUUUUGUGGUUGCAUGUAAAAUUGCCGUCAGCUUUUUGCAAUAGAAAGAGACCCUAAGAAGAAGCCCAUGUGUGCCUUUAGCAACUUAUUGUAGCUUGUGGACCAACUUCGGUCUAAAGAGCAAGAUUUAAGAGCGUCCAGGAUUCAUAUGUUUAAUAUUUGGAGAUUCAGUAGUUUUAUCUGACAGUCAAAGUAGCUAUUGAUAGAAAAAGAACAUGUACUAUGGCAUAAAAAUACUGCAUUAAAGUACUGACAAAAGAAUCUGUGGUGACUUUGCUGAGCUUUUGGCUGGUCUAAAUGCUUGGAAACUAUUUUUUUUCUUUAUGUCAGGAAAGCAACUGUUCAUACGCCAGGUGUUGCUCUCCCUCCUCUCCCAACCCCUCUCUUUUUCAAUAUCUCACAGCUGUAUGAUAGGUAAUUAAAACAAUCACCGACGUGUUUCAAAGCUGUUGUAGCCUUUAGUUGACUUUUAAAACUCUUAUUUGAAGAAGAAUGGUGAAAUUAAUUUGUAUCUGGCUCAGGAAAGUGCUCUUUACUUGAGCAAUGGACUUUACAACAUUGCCAACAAAAAGACUGAAAUUAAUAUUACUCUUGCCUUUAUCUAGGGUUAUUCUGUUAACUGUUUUAUACUGGAAAUUAAUUUCAAUAUCAGACAGGUGUCUACAAGCCAUGAAUGCAGCAGCUCCAGCAUACAGUCAGAUAGCUUCCUCUUCAUAAUCAUGGUAAAAAUAAUAAUUCGAAAGAAGUAAACUUGCCAGCACAAUUAAAUGAUUCUGCCUGUAGAUAAUGGAAGGAGGAAGUUUCAAAGAAUGGACUAUAAAAUGCAUAAGAUUAAAAAGUGUCAUUUAAAAAAGUGUUAUGUGGUUGUUUUGAAAAGAACUGUGAUUUUACAGGCUCAUCUUUCUACUGAGAAAAAUUACUGUGAGAUACAGAGACUUCGGGAUAGGUGUAUUUUUGAUGCUGAGAUGCUCUGCUGUUUUCUGUUGGGUUUUUGUGUGUGUGUGUUUCUUUUCUGUGCUUCAGCAGCUGGCUUUAUGAAACUUGUAAUUCAUUCAUUGUGCUUUCUCUAUGAGACAGGAUUUUAUUCUGAAAAUAAAUUUACUUCUAAUAUGUUCUUUUUGAUCGUUAAAAAAAAAAACCCUUUCAUCUUUACAAACGAUUGUGUUGUUACAUCCGUGUAAAGUGGACCAUGUAGCACAAGUGAACAGCAAAUCCAAUGAGCAAUGUGUAUAAAAUGUAGGAAUGUGAGCAAGAAAAGCAGUGCAUAACCUAAGAAUGAAGCAGAAAUUUAGUUUGGAAACACGUUUUAUUGUCUUACAGCCUUGUGAGACCCCAGUUAUUCACAUAAUUAUUGAUUAAGAAUGACUGCAUUUGCAGGAAAAUAUGUGCUUCAGAAAUAACCAAAAUAUGCGGUGGCACAUUUUAAGCUCCUCAUCUGGGUACACAGUUUGUAGGUACAGGCAGAAGCAUCCCUCAGCGGUCAGGCACAGGCUGGCUUUCCUCUCCUUGUUCUCAGAAGGAUAUCUGCCUCUCUUGGACUGCCCCACAAAAUUCCAUUUCUUCUUCCUCUUCGGAUUUGUCUCUUUGGAAAUGUAUAAUUCCAUGGCAUAGAUGUAAGCAGUGACAGCUGCAACACACGGAAAAUACAAGUUAGGAGUGGAAUUGGUUCUGGCUUAGAAAUCACUAAUUUUAGGAAAAACAUGCAGGAUGACAGCUUUUGCAUUUUCCCCAUUGGUUUGUGGGGGAAUCCUCACCUGGUGCACGCAUAGACGUACAUAUAGAGCAAGUGUUUUUAUUUAUGUAUGUCUAAAAAUCUGGAAGAUACCAGCUAACAGAGCGCAAACAAGAAAUACCAGCGCUGGCAAAUCCAAACCAGCAAAUAUCCAUUCUGACUUUUCCCCAUUAAUUUUAAAAUAAAUACCUCUUCCUGUUUGUACAAACAUUUCCUAUUUAUUAAAAACAGCAUUCCUCUUCUUUGCUCCUUUGUGAAUGUUUCUAACCACACACAAAACUGCAAAGAAAUACACAAAUGAGAAUAAAAUUAAGACUCAAACGCUAAUCUGCAUCUUUGCUACAGCACAACUCAAUUUGACAGUAU
ensembl:lncRNA